AAACGAUAGUCAUCGUGUAUCCCUCUUCCUAAUCAGCAAGAGAAAAAGAUGCACCAAAUGUACUUUAGAUAUCUCCAGUGCCUCAACGUCUUGUUAAAAGGAGCUGUGGUCAAGUGAUGGCAAGGUUAGGAGCGCGCUGGAGCAAUCUGAGGAAGAGGCCAAACAAACAUCAGAGAGUUG
rnacentral:lncRNA from 1 species